rnacentral:rRNA from 1 species
CCUACGGGCGGCAGCAGUGAGGAAUAUUGGUCAAUGGGCGCGAGCCUGAACCAGCCAAGUCGCGUGAAGGAUGACUGCCCUACGGGUUGUAAACUUCUUUUAUAAAGGAAUAAAGUGCGGCACGUGUGCCUUUUUGUAUGUCCUUCACGAUUAAGGAUCGGCUAACUCCGUGCCAGCAGCCGCGGUAAUACGGAGGAUCCGAGCGUUAUCCGGAUUUAUUGGGUUUAAAGGGAGCGUAGAUGGGUUGUUAAGUCAGUUGUGAAAGUUUGCGGCUCAACCGUAAAAUUGCAAUUGAUACUGGCAGUCUUGAGUACAGGAGAGGUAGGCGGAAUUCGUGGUGUAGCGGUGAAAUGCGUAGAUAUCACGAGGAACUCCGAUUGCGAAGGCGGCUUACUAGACUGCCACUGACAUUGAUGCGCGAAAGUGUGGGUAUCAAACAGGAUUAGAUACCCGAGUAGUC